rnacentral:rRNA from 1 species
CCUACGGGGGGCAGCAGUGGGGAAUAUUGGACAAUGGGGGGAACCCUGAUCCAGCCAUGCCGCGUGUGUGAAGAAGGCCCUCGGGUUGUAAAGCACUUUCAGUGAGGAAGAACGCCUGGUGGUUAAUACCCAUCAGGAAAGACAUCACUCACAGAAGAAGCACCGGCUAACUCCGUGCCAGCAGCCGCGGUAAUACGGAGGGUGCGAGCGUUAAUCGGAAUUACUGGGCGUAAAGCGCGCGUAGGUGGCUUGAUAAGCCGGUUGUGAAAGCCCCGGGCUCAACCUGGGAACGGCAUCCGGAACUGUCAAGCUAGAGUGCAGGAGAGGAAGGUAGAAUUCCCGGUGUAGCGGUGAAAUGCGUAGAGAUCGGGAGGAAUACCAGUGGCGAAGGCGGCCUUCUGGACUGACACUGACACUGAGGUGCGAAAGCGUGGGUAGCAAACAGGAUUAGAUACCUUGUAGUC